rnacentral:rRNA from 1 species
CAGACCGAAAAAUAAGCCUGUUGCAGUUAAAGCUCGUAGUUGAAGUUCUGGCUGUUCGAUCCUCUAGCUCUGUAGCCGAGGACUCGACAGUCAUCCGCUUGCAAAUAUAGUUCGUCCUUAACCGGAUGGCUAUAUGAGUAAGCAAUUUACCCUGAGAAAAACAGAGUGUUCCAGGCAGGUUUGUCCGGAAUGCAUUAGCAUGGAAUAAUAGAAUAUGACUGAAGUCGAUUUAUUGGUUUGAGGCUUUAGUAAUGGUUAAUAGGAACAGUCGGGGGCAUUGGUACUUGACAGUCAGAGGUGAAAUUCUAGGAUUUGUCAAAGACUAACAAAUGCGAAAGCAUUUGCCAAGGAUGUUUUCAUUAAUCAAGAACGAAAGUUAGGGGAUCAAAGACGAUCAGAUACCGUCCUAGUCUUAACUAUAAACUAUACCGACUCGGAUUCAGAUGAAUCAUAAAGUUCAUUUGGGACCGUAGGAGAAAUCAAAGUUUUUGGGUUCUGGGGGAAGUAUGGUCG